UAGGGAAUCUUCGGCAAUGGACGGAAGUCUGACCGAGCAACGCCGCGUGAGUGAAGUAGGUUUUCGGAUCGUAAAGCUCUGUUGUAAGAGAAGAACGAGUGUGAGAGUGGAAAGUUCACACUGUGACGGUAUCUUACCAGAAAGGGACGGCUAACUACGUGCCAGCAGCCGCGGUAAUACGUAGGUCCCGAGCGUUGUCCGGAUUUAUUGGGCGUAAAGCGAGCGCAGGCGGUUAGAUAAGUCUGAAGUUACAGGCUGUGGCUUAACCAUAGUAGGCUUUGGAAACUGUUUAACUUGAGUGCAAGAGGGGAGAGUGGAAUUCCAUGUGUAGCGGUGAAAUGCGUAGAUAUAUGGAGGAACACCGGUGGCGAAAGCGGCUCUCUGGCUUGUAACUGACGCUGAGGCUCGAAAGCGUGGGGAGCAAACAGGAUUAGAUACCCUGGUAGUCCACGCUGUAAACGAUGAGUGCUAGGUGUUAGACCCUUUCCGGGGUUUAGUGCCGUAGCUAACGCAUUAAGCACUCCGCCUGGGGAGUACGACCGCAAGGUU
rnacentral:rRNA from 1 species